rnacentral:rRNA from 1 species
AGACCCGAAACCCGGUGAUCUAGCCAUGGGCAGGUUGAAGGUUGGGUAACACUAACUGGAGGACCGAACCGACUAAUGUUGAAAAAUUAGCGGAUGACCUGUGGCUGGGGGUGAAAGGCCAAUCAAACCGGGAGAUAGCUGGUUCUCCCCGAAAGCUAUUUAGGUAGCGCCUCGUGAAUUCAUCUCCGGGGGUAGAGCACUGUUUCGGCUAGGGGGCCAUCCCGGCUUACCAACCCGAUGCAAACUGCGAAUACCGGAGAAUGUUAUCACGGGAGACACACGGCGGGUGCUAACGUCCGUCGUGAAGAGGGAAACAACCCAGACCGCCAGCUAAGGUCCCAAAGUCAUGGUUAAGUGGGAAACGAUGUGGGAAGGCCCAGACAGCCAGGAUGUUGGCUUAGAAGCAGCCAUCAUUUAAAGAAAGCGUAAUAGCUCACUGGUCGAGUCGGCCUGCGCGGAAGAUGUAACGGGGCUAAACCAUGCACCGAAGCUGCGGCAGCGACGCUUAUGCGUUGUUGGGUAGGGGAGCGUUCUGUAAGCCUGUGAAGGUGGCCUGUGAGGGUUGCUGGAGGUAUCAGAAGUGCGAAUGCUGACAUAAGUAACGAUAAAGCGGGUGAAAAGCCCGCUCGCCGGAAGACCAAGGGUUCCUGUCCAACGUUAAUCGGGGCAGGGUGAGUCGACCCCUAAGGCGAGGCCGAAAGGCGUAGUCGAUGGGAAACAGGUUAAUAUUCCUGUACUUGGUGUUACUGCGAAGGGGGGACGGAGAAGGCUAUGUUGGCCGGGCGACGGUUGUCCCGGUUUAAGCGUGUAGGUGUGUGUUCCAGGUAAAUCCGGUUCACUUUAACACUGAGGCGUGAUGACGAGGCACUACGGUGCUGAAGCAACAAAUGCCCUGCUUCCAGGAAAAGCCUCUAAGCAUCAGGUAACAUCAAAUCGUACCCCAAACCGACACAGGUGGUCAGGUAGAGAAUACCAAGGCGCUUGAGAGAACUCGGGUGAAGGAACUAGGCAAAAUGGUGCCGUAACUUCGGGAGAAGGCACGCUGACACGUAGGUGAAGUGAUUUACUCAUGGAGCUGAAGUCAGUCGAAGAUACCAGCUGGCUGCAACUGUUUAUUAAAAACACAGCACUGUGCAAACACGAAAGUGGACGUAUACGGUGUGACGCCUGCCCGGUGCCGGAAGGUUAAUUGAUGGGGUCAGCGCAAGCGAAGCUCCUGAUCGAAGCCCCGGUAAACGGCGGCCGUAACUAUAACGGUCCUAAGGUAGCGAAAUUCCUUGUCGGGUAAGUUCCGACCUGCACGAAUGGCGUAAUGAUGGCCAGGCUGUCUCCACCCGAGACUCAGUGAAAUUGAACUCGCUGUGAAGAUGCAGUGUACCCGCGGCAAGACGGAAAGACCCCGUGAACCUUUACUAUAGCUUGACACUGAACAUUGAGCCUUGAUGUGUAG